rnacentral:lncRNA from 1 species
AAAAAUAACUUUUCUAUUAUGGAUAUUAAAAAUCCUAUCCACAUUUAUCCCACCUCCCCUAUGGAAUAAUUUUAUCAUAUCUAUAUUCUCAUUAUAUCUGACUUUAUUCUGUCCUGAGCGAGCACCAAACGUAGGAUAGGAUAAAUCAAUCUCAUAUUCCAAAUUUUAUCCCAAUUGCCAAACGCAGCCUUAAGACUUAAACAAAGAGUAUCAACAAUUUCCUGGGAACAUAGACAAUGCCUACACAAUGAUGGGAGAGAAUUUUCUCAUGAAUGGAUGUUAGCCAGCAUUUUGAUGACUACCUGAAUGCUUAAAUCAUCUUUGCUCAAUGGUGGAAGAAAGACCACAAACAAGGUAUAUCUAGAAACAGUCUCUAGCAUUAUAACCAAAAUCUAUUACACAUUCAACUGUAGCAAAUAGAUCAUUCCAACCAUUGACAGGCCAAAUCCUAGAUAGAAACCCUAUCUAGAUGAUAGAUCCAUAAGCCAUGUUACUAGAUGCUAAAACCAAGUUGGAGACGUGGACAAAGACCUAAAAGCUAAAGACAUGUCUAGAUAGAUAGCUUUUUGCCCACAAUGCAGGAAGUUGACCACCUGCAACUCUUUCCCAUCUUUGUUUUAUCUUCAUUGAUUUUCAGGCAUUAAGAUACUAUAGAAUUUAUUUAUUUUUUUGCAUAGACAAAACAUCUUAUAUUCCCGUGAUGAUCAAAUAAAUUCCUCAUGGAAGAUUUUCGCAUAUGGUAGGGAUACCAAAUUAACACCCUCACUAAAGUAAUGCAGAAGGAAAAGUGCAAUAAAAUAAGGGAAC